AGCAGUCGCCGCGGGAAUACGGAGGGUGCAAGCGUUAAUCGGAAUUACUGGGCGUAAAGCGCACGCAGGCGGUCUGACAAGUCAGAUGUGAAAUCCCCGGGCUUAACCUGGGAACUGCAUUUGAAACUGUCAGGCUGGAGUCUUGUAGAGGGGGGUAGAAUUCCAGGUGUAGCGGUGAAAUGCGUAGAGAUCUGGAGGAAUACCGGUGGCGAAGGCGGCCCCCUGGACAAAGACUGACGCUCAGGUGCGAAAGCGUGGGGAGCAAACAGGAUUAGAUACCCCAGUAGUCACUGUCUCUUAUAC
rnacentral:rRNA from 1 species